rnacentral:rRNA from 1 species
UACGAGGGGGGCGAGCGUUGUUCGGAAUUAUUGGGCGUAAAGGGUGCGUAGGCGGUUUGGUAAGUCUCUUGUGAAAUCUAUGGGCUCAACUCAUAGUCUGCAAGGGAAACUGCCGGGCUUGAGUGUGGGAGAGGUGAGUGGAAUUUCCGGUGUAGCGGUGAAAUGCGUAGAUAUCGGAAGGAACACCUGUGGCGAAAGCGGCUCACUGGACCACAACUGACGCUGAUGCACGAAAGCUAGGGGAGCGAAUGGG